UACGGAAGGGGCAAGCGUUGUUCGGAAUCAUUGGGCGUAAAGGGCGCGUAGGUGGUUCUGUAUGUCUACCGUGAAAGCGUACGGCUCAACCGUAUUUUGUCGGUAGAAACUGCAGGACUUGAGGCUGGGAGGGGCUGGUGGAAUUCCCUGUGUAGCGGUGAAAUGCGUAGAGAUGGGGGAGAACACUCGUUGCGAAGGCGGCCAGCUAGACCAGUUCUGACACUGAGGCGCGACAGCGUGGGGAGCAAACAGG
rnacentral:rRNA from 1 species